rnacentral:lncRNA from 1 species
CUUCACUUGUUCCGGCCAUGUCGCGCUUCUUCCGCAGCACCGCCCUCACCACCGCAUGUGCAACUGCGGUUCUGUCCUCUGCAUUCUCGCAGAACCUCUCUUCGCCCCUCCCACUCUCGGUUUCACCCUCCUCUUCUCCAUCGACAUCCAUCGGUCCCGUCGUGGCCUUUAGUCACGUCACACUCGUCCGUGCGCACUUGGACCUCCGUGAGCUUGAUGCCAUGCUUACAUUGGCCUCCUUCCUCGUCGACACCACCCAGGCGUUCCUCGUGGUUGUACUGCGUUGUCCGCCUAUCUACCUCAUGACGCUCUGCCAGGGCCACGAACACCUCACCACAUAGAUCCUGUCCGCAGAGUCGGUGGAGGGCAAGCAGGUCACGACCAUCCAAAGGGAUCGUGACCCCGUGAAAAGUCCCACGAUUAAAAAAACCGAGCAAAAAUUGAUGUGGGACCUAAAUUUGAUUUUUUGAAGCCAUUUAAGGGUAACUCUUAGAGAUAGCAUUUUUUUCCUCCCAAUAACUUUUAGGGAGUUGCAAAAACUACAUGAUUUGGGAAGAAAAAUAUGAGGUACGGUUGGAGAUAAGUAUGGUUAGGUUCAGUUUUAUGAAUUUUUUAUUGUUUACAAAAUAUUUUUAUAUGUUUCUCAAUUUUUUUGACAAAGGAAAAGCGAUUGUAUUCAGUUUUGUUUUUCUAUAAAGAAGGGAGACGUUUUUUUUCUUGUUCCCUGUUCAAAGAUCCCGUUCUGGCCCAAUCCUUCUUUUUCCAGGGCCUAGUGUAUUUGUUUUUUUUUUUGCGUGCCACGUACCCCUUGCUAGCUGGACUGGCUGGUUUUCCUUGUUCCAGGUUAAAAAUCCCGUCAUGCCUCUCUCUCUCUCUCCCUCGUGCUAGGACCAGCGGUUACCCUUUUUUAAGAAAACGUAAAUGCAUUAAGCACUAGAACUAGGCAAAUCGCCAUACAAGACACUAGUAAGAAAAUAGUACAACGCCGAUGCCUCUUUUUAUAUCACAGAUAGUUUUACUUAUCACGUGCCUAUAGUAUAAAAAGGGCGGUGUCACAACUACCAACCGUAUGUAAAGAUACAUUUUCACAGGCGGUUUUCCUAACAAAACUGCCUGUAGAAAUCAUACAUUUUUACGGACGGUUUUCCUAAGGAACCGCUACU